UAGAGAUGCUAAUAAAGCCGAUAUGGUGAACAAGCUACUUCUUCGUGGUCCUUUUGAUAAGAAAGUAAUCCAGUGGUUGCUUACACUACAUUAAAUAGGUCUUGAUGUUAUUCGCACCGACAGGACUUUAGUAUUCUAUGA